CGGGCCGUCCGACCCGUCGCUGCGUCCUAGCGUUUCGCGCCGGGGCGUAGAGAAAAGUCCGGACUCGCGAGGGUUGGGGAACGUGUCCCCAGUCCGGAAAGGCCGCUCGGGCCAACAACCCGAGGGGUGGGGAGGCGUAAGCCCUCCGCCACGUCAAGUGCAACAGAGAGUAGACCAGCCGAUGGUUCGAGCUUAUGUCUCGGGCACAGGUGAUGGGUGAAAGGGUGGGGUAAGAGCCCACCGGCGGUAUCCCGCGAGGGGCCGGCCAGGUAAACCACCGGUGCGAGCAAGCCAAAUUGUCUCGGGGCCCCGAAGGGUUUCUCUCAAAGGCCCCGGGCUGGUAGGCGCGGCUCCUCCGAGAGGAGCCCGGGAGGGACCAGCCUUCCCGGAGAUGGAUGACGGGAUAGAGCAGAAUCCGGCUUACGGGACGGCCCGAACC
rnacentral:RNase_P_RNA from 1 species